UACGGGGGGGGGCAAGCGUUGUUCGGAAUUACUGGGCGUAAAGGGCUCGUAGGCGGCCAACUAAGUCAGACGUGAAAUCCCUCGGCUUAACCGGGGAACUGCGUCUGAUACUGGAUGGCUUGAGGUUGGGAGAGGGAUGCGGAAUUCCAGGUGUAGCGGUGAAAUGCGUAGAUAUCUGGAGGAACACCGGUGGCGAAGGCGGCAUCCUGGACCAAUUCUGACGCUGAGGAGCGAAAGCCAGGGGAGCAAAAGCGGGG
rnacentral:rRNA from 1 species